CGCAAUGUGUGAGGGUGUGUCGCGGCGCGGUGGCCCACUUGUACCUGCAUUCUGAGUAACAGUGACUGUGCUGCGUAUAUUGUCGUGUAAUAUCGUCCUUGAGUGCCAUCCAUCACCCUCAUUGUCUAGCACGUGACCCCCAGUGUCUCCACGCCAGGCGAGGCGCUUGCUGAAGGAAUGAGGCGAGGCGUGGCGCGAGGGAGGUUGCGAGGAGGAAGAAAAGAAGACUUGGGUUGCACAAGGACACAGGAAGGAAGGUGGUGGACACUCGAACUGCAACUCCAACUACUUAUGAAGCUCCCUGCAGUGCUGCCCAUUUCGGAAGGAGGGGAACACACUCGAGGCACUCCCAGGUGGCUGUGAAGACAAACAAGGCGGCUGUGUGUGCAUUGUUCCAGCCAGUCUCGGGAGAGGGAGGGUAAGGAGGCCAGACACGCUCGUAUUCCUGCACUUCUGGCCUUCCUCCUCCUCUCCUCCAGAGAUCAUCGACACCCAGGCAAGCACAGCAACACGGCUCAAGAGAGAACAAUCGGGGAGACGCGGCUAGCACGACACGGCAUGCAGGGAAGAGAGGUGGUGGGGAAACUGACAAGAAUGAAAGACUGAAGAGGAAGUUCGAGAAAGAAAGACGAGAAGGUUAAGUAGAGGAUGUGAUAGGGAGGAUCUUAGGAGUAGAGUUAAGAAGGUAGAUGAGAAAGACGAGGAGUUGCAAGGAAGGGAUGUGGUGGGAAGAAUGGCAGGAAAAAAUUACUGAGAAGGUAGACAAAAAAUAUGAGGAACAACAAGGAAAGGAAGUAAUGAACAUGGUGUUAGAAAUAAAAGAUUUAAGAGGAAGGGGUAUGUAAAGGUGAGGUGUAGGAAAGGGAAGGGGCAAGGAGACUGAUGGGAAUAAAAAAAUUACGACGAAUUGAAAGAAAGCGAUUGAUAAAAAAAAUAUACGAAGAAAAUGGAAACGUUAGAAGAUACAUAGAAGGUAAAUGAAACAUUAAUAGUGAGAGAUAUGAAAGAAAGAUUCAGCAAUAGAUGAAAGGGAGGUACAAAGUUUAUGAAAAUUAUUAAUUGAGAGAUAUGUGAAAGAAAGAUUCACCUGUAUAUAAAUGUGAAGUAAAAAGCGAGAAAAAAGACGCACGGUAUGGAAAAUAAAUUUGCCUGAUGAAAAGUAGAUGAAAAGUGAUUGAUAGAGGGAGACUUGGAAAAAUAUGGAAUGACAUAUGAAAAGAGACGAAAAAAGAUAAGGUAUAAAAGAUAAUGCUCGUGAAAAGUAGAUGAAAAAGAUGAGCGAAAAAAAAAAUGCUCGUAAAAGACGGAUGAAACCGAUAAAGAAUACAUGACUAAAAAUGAAAACCAAGAAAAAAAGAAAGUUGUGGAAAAAAUAGAUAAAAACACAAGAAAAUAUGGAAGCGAGAUACACUGAUAUACGAACAAAAAAGAAAGACAAAAAAAAGAUGAAAAGAAAAAAAUAUGUGAAAUCUACGUUCAGAAUUCCUGGAUCGUUGUAAAAGGAAAAAAAAAGUUGUUGGUUUUUAUUUCUGCGAAGAAUUUUGUUUACGGCGGUCGUCCACAAGGAAAGAAACACUAAUAAGAAGACAAGGCAUAAAAAAAAAAUUACGAAAAUAAUGAGGGUGAAGAGAAAUAUGUAAGGCAGGACUUGCUCUAAAGAAAAAAGAAGUGCGUAAUUUUAGAAUAGAUAAAUAGGAAUAAUAAUCAGUAUAGGAAGUGAGCGAAAGAGGAAGAAAACAAGAACAUCAAUAAGGAAGAUGAGACGUGGAAAAAUAACACGAAAGAGAAUGAGUCUUAAGUGAAUCUUGUAAAGCUGUACCCGUUGACUGCUCUUCCUUCAUCUUAAGCUUCAUAGAAUGCUGUGUUUUAAGGUCAGAGUUUUGUACUGGAUGACGAUACUGACAGCGAAAGGAGUGACGGAGUAGAUCAAACAGUUUUUUACCUGCUGUCUUUUUUCGCCGUUUAAGAAUAGUGUAAUGUUAAACGAAAUAUUAAAUGUCAUUAGCCAUGAGUCUUCAGCAGUGAGAGAGUUAAAGAAGAAAGUGCUGAGGUUUUAGAAACAAAACUAAUGAUAAUAUACAUCAAAUGAAGGAAAGAGGAUGUAGAAGAAUAGGAACAUUAUUUAUUUAUUUAUUUUUUUUAGUGUAGGAUGGACACUGGCUAAAGGCAACAAAAAUUCCAUAAAAAAAAAAAAACCCACUGAGAUGCCAGUCCCAGAAAAGGGUCCAAAGCGGUAGUCAAAAAUUGAAGGAUAAGUGUCUUGAAACAAAGGUAGAUGAGACUAAGUGGAUGUUGUAACGCAGGUCGUGUACUAAAGAAGAAAGUACUUGAAGCUUCAAAGUUUAGUAAAGAUAAUGAUCAAUUUUAUUAAAUAGAAAAAAAAACACGAACAUUAAUCAGGAAGAUAGGAGAUGAUUACAUUUUCAUUUGUAGAUACAUGUAUAGUUAUCAAAGGACUUUUAUUGAUGGGAAAAUUAAUUUUGACAAAACGACCAAGUAUACCGGGAAGAUAUUUAUAUUUUUUGGAUGGGAAAUUUGUCCCUAAAAGAAGAAAAAAAGGAAAAAAAAAUAGCUUUGGAAAGUUUCAAUCUGGAUAAAGUUUAUUUUUCACUGUCUGGGCUUGCAUUCCAAUCCCGCCUGCCAAAUUUCAUCAUAUAUGCAGUGACAGUUUUGGGUGUCUCGACAGAUAGGCAGACGGACGGACACACACUCACACACACACACACACACACACACACACACACAGUUUGAUACUAGCCACAACGUACAUGUAUACAAAAGAAGUAACAAAUAAAAAGAAAAUAACACGCAAAAGAAAAAAAAAACUUGCAGUAAGGUAUUUAAACAAAAUUACGCAGAAACAAGUAAAAUAUAAAUAAAACAUCUUCGUGAAUAUGUAUAAAUAUGGCAGUGUUUAAGUAAAAGGAUAAAUAAAAACAAAAACAAUUGCAAGCAAACAAAAAAAAAACAUCAAUACACAAACAAAACUGCACACACAAAAUUAACACCAAGAAAAAAAUCUCAAUAAAAAAAAAUGAUAAAAAAUUAAAAACCUUCUGGUAAAAUAGUUAACAGUGAAGUUUCUAAAAUAAAACAGUGAAAAUCAAUGAGCUCAGAGGAAAACGAGGCCAGUGUUUGUUCUCAGUGGCAAGCGUGGCCACUCUCUGCUCACAUCGACCAGCCAAUAAAAGUGGAAAGGGGGAGAAAAGGAAGCAUCCGUCACCAGAUAGAGGGAAAAAGUAAAAGGGGGAAAAAGAAUAAAAAAAAAAGAUAGAGUUUUAGAGAGAAUAAUAGUCAUUAAA